GUGGCUGUAGCUUAGUGGUAGAGCACUUGCCUAGCAUGUGUGAGGCACUGGGUUCAAUUCUCAGCACCACA
rnacentral:tRNA from 1 species